rnacentral:rRNA from 1 species
CAGUCGCCACGGGAAAACGUAGGUGGCAAGCGCUGUCCGGAAUUAUUGGGCGUAAAGCGCGCGCAGGCGGAUCGGUCAGUCUGUCUUAAAAGUUCGGGGCUUAACCCCGUGAUGGGAUGGAAACUAGUAGGCUAGAGUAUCGGAGAGGAAAGCGGAAUUCCUAGUGUAGCGGUGAAAUGCGUAGAUAUUAGGAAGAACACCAGUGGCGAAGGCGGCUUUCUGGACGAAGACUGACGCUGAGGCGCGAAAGCCAGGGGAGCGAACGGGAUUAGAUACCCGGGUAGUCCCUGUCUCUUAUACC